AUGGACCAGAUUCAGCACAAGUACAUAACCGUACAUGGCCUGAACCUUCACUGUCGCCGACAUUGGAACAGGUUCCAAUGUGGUCGUGUUCCUGCACGGAUUCCCAGAAAUAUGGUACUCGUGGCGCCACCAGAUGACCGCCGUAGCCAACGCCGGGUACCGGGCCAUUGCUCCCGAUUUCCGCGGGUACGGACUCUCCGACCCGCCACCCGAACCGGAGAAGACCACCUUCCACGACCUCAUCGAUGACCUCAUUGGAAUUCUCGAUGCUCUAGCCAUUCCCAAGGUUUUCCUCAUUAGAAAAGAUUUUGGAGGCCGGCCGGCAUACUUGUUUGCCCUUCUGCACCCAGAAAGGGUCUCGGGAGUUGUAAAAUUGGGAGUUCCAUACACACCACCAACAAGUCGUCCCCAAUAUGAUAAAUCCCUCCCUGAAGGUUUUUACAUCAACAGAUGGCAGGAACCUGGCCGCGCAGAAGCUGAUUUUGGACGCCUUGAUGCAAAAACAGUUGUUCGGAAUGUUUAGAUCCUUUUCUCGAGAAGUGAACUACCAAUAGCUGCGGAAAACCAGGAGAUCAUGGACUUGGUGGACUCGUCUACACCUCUUCCCCCAUGGUUCACUGAGGAAGAUCUUGAAGCAUAUGGCAAGUUGUACGAAAAAUCAGGUUUCCGAACUGCGCUGCGAGUUCCAUAUAGGGUGAUUAAAGAAGAUUUGGGCAUAACCACUGAUCCAACUGUUAAAGUUCCGGUGCUGUGUAUAAUGGGAAACAAGGAUUAUUCAUGCAAAUUUCCAGGGAUGGCAGAUUACAUAAACAGUGGAAAGUUGAAAGAGUUUGUCCCCAAUUUGGAGAUUGUAUCUCUCCCUGAAGGAACUCAUUUUGUUCAAGAACAAUUGCCUGACCAGGUCAAUGAGCUCAUCCUCACCUUCCUUGGAAAGCACAAGUGAUUGGUAAUGCUUCUAUGAUCAUUAUCGGACAUACAAUUGUCUAAGACUCCAUAGAGCAGAUCAGGAUUAGGAAGGAUAUACCAACUUCUUAUUUCUGUUGAAAGAUUUAACUUUCGAGUCCUCAUGUACAAUUGGCUAAAACUGCAAUGUGGCCCAUUUGGAAC